CGGGUGAGUAACACGUGGGUAACCUGCCCCGAUGAUUGGGACAACCCGAGGAAACUCGGGCUAAUACCGGAUGUGCCCUGUGGUCUCAAGGCCACUAGGGGAAAGGAAGCUUCGGCCUCCGCAUCGGGAUGGGCCCGCGGCCCAUUAGCUUGUUGGUGAGGUAACGGCUCACCAAGGCGACGAUGGGUAGCUGGUCUGAGAGGACGAUCAGCCACACUGGGACUGAGACACGGCCCAG
rnacentral:rRNA from 1 species